rnacentral:rRNA from 1 species
GACAGAGGGUGCAAACGUUGUUCGGAAUUACUGGGCGUAAAGCGAGUGUAGGCGGUCCGAUAAGUCGGGUGUGAAAGCCCUGGGCUCAACCCAGGAAGUGCACUCGAAACUGCCGGGCUAGAGUAUCGGAGAGGUUGGUGGAAUUCUCGGUGUAGAGGUGAAAUUCGUAGAUAUCGAGAGGAACACCGGUGGCGAAGGCGGCCAACUGGACGAAUACUGACGCUGAGACUCGAAAGCGUGGGGAGCAAACAGG